AAACCAGCACCUCAAGUGGUCAGGAUGAUUAUUGGGCCUAAAGCAUCCGUAGCCUGUUCUGUAAGUUUUCGGUUAAAUCCAUUAGCUCAACUAAUGGGCUGCCGAAAAUACUGUAGAACUAGGGAGUGGGAGAGGUAGACGGUAUUCGGUAGGAAGGGGUAAAAUCCUUUGAUCUAUUGAGGACCACCUGUGGCGAAGGCGGUCUACCAGAACACGUUCGACGGUGAGGGAUGAAAGCUGGGGGAGCAAACCGGAUUAGAAACCCCAGUAGUCC
rnacentral:rRNA from 1 species